GAUCAUGGCUCAGAACGAACGCUGGUGGCGUGUCUUAUACAUGCAAGUCGAGCGAGGCAGCAAUGCCGAGCGGCGAACGGGUGAGUAACGCGUAAGCAAUCUGCCCCAUAUCAGGAAAUACCCGUGCCAACGCGCGGUUAAUGUCCAGGAGAGUGGCCUUCCGCAUGGAGGGUUGACUAGAGAUUUAUCGGUAUGGGAUGAGCUUGCGUCCGAUUAGCUAGUUGGCGGGGCAACGGCCCACCAAGGCGACGAUCGGUAGCCGGCCUGAGAGGGUGAUCGGCCACAUUGGGACUGAGAUACGGCCCAGACUCCUACGGGAGGCAGCAGUAGGGAAUAUUGCACAAUGGGGGAAACCCUGAUGCAGCAACGCCACGUGUGGGAAGAAGCAUUUCGGUGUGUAAACCACUGUCAUGAGGGAAUAAGGCCCGCCUUCGGACGGACUUGAAUGUACCUUGAGAGGAAGCACCGGCAAACUUCGUGCCAGCAGCCGC
rnacentral:rRNA from 1 species